GAUGAACGCUGGCGGCGUGCUUAACACAUGCAAGUCGAACGGUGAAGCCAAGCUUGCUUGGUGGAUCAGUGGCGAACGGGUGAGUAACACGUGAGCAACCUGCCCUGGACUCUGGGAUAAGCGCUGGAAACGGCGUCUAAUACUGGAUAUGAGCCUCUUCCGCAUGGUGGGGGUUGGAAAGAUUUUUUGGUCUGGGAUGGGCUCGCGGCCUAUCAGCUUGUUGGUGAGGUAAUGGCUCACCAAGGCGUCGACGGGUAGCCGGCCUGAGAGGGUGACCGGCUACACUGGGACUGAGACACGGCCCAGACUCCUACGGGAGGCAGCAGUGGGGAAUAUUGCACAAUGGGCGAAAGCCUGAUGCAGCAACGCCGCGUGAGGGAUGACGGCCUUCGGGUUGUAAACCUCUUUUAGCAGGGAAGAAGCGAAAGUGACGGUACCUGCAGAAAAAGCGCCGGCUAACUACGUG
rnacentral:rRNA from 1 species